AUUGCCCCAGUAACGGCGAGUGAAGCGGCAACAGCUCAAAUUUGAAAUCUGGCCCCCCGGCCCGAGUUGUAAUUUGCAGAGGAUGCUUUUGGUGAGGCACCUACCGAGUCCCCUGGAAUGGGGCGCCAUAGAGGGUGAGAGCCCCGUAUGGUAGGACGCCGAACCUCUGUAAAGCUCCUUCGACGAGUCGAGUAGUUUGGGAAUGCUGCUCUAAAUGGGAGGUAAAUUUCUUCUAAAGCUAAAUACCGGCCAGAGACCGAUAGCGCACAAGUAGAGUGAUCGAAAGAUGAAAAGCACUUUGAAAAGAGGGUUAAAAAGUACGUGAAAUUGUUGAAAGGGAAGCGCUUGUGACCAGACUUGCGCCGGGCGGAUCAUCCAGCGUUCUCGCUGGUGCACUCCGCCCGGUUCAGGCCAGCAUCGGUUUUCGCCGGGGGACAAAGGCUUCGGGAACGUGGCUCCUUUCGGGGAGUGUUAUAGCCCGUUGCGUAAUACCCCGGCGGGGACCGACGACCGCGCUUCGGCAAGGAUGCUGGCGUAAUGGUCAUCAGCGACCCGUCUUGAAACACGGACCGAGGAGUCAAGCAUUAGUGCGAGUGUUUGGGUGUAAAACCCGCACGCGUAAUGAAAGUGAACGUAGGUGAGAGCUUCGGCGCAUCAUCGACCGAUCCUGAUGUUUUCGGAAGGAUUUGAGUAGGAGCAUUAACGCUUGGACCCGAAAGAUGGUGAACUAUACUUGAAUAGGGUGAAGCCAGAGGAAACUCUGGUGGAGGCUCGCAGCGGUUCUGACGUGCAAAUCGAUCGUCAAAUUUGAGUAUAGGGGCGAAAGACUAAUCGAACCAUCUAGUAGCUGGUUCAGC
rnacentral:rRNA from 1 species